rnacentral:rRNA from 1 species
UACGUAGGUGGCAAGCGUUAUCCGGAAUUAUUGGGCGUAAAGCGCGCGCAGGCGGUCCUUUAAGUCUGAUGUGAAAGCCCACGGCUCAACCGUGGAGGGUCAUUGGAAACUGGAGGACUUGAGUACAGAAGAGGAAAGCGGAAUUCCACGUGUAGCGGUGAAAUGCGUAGAGAUGUGGAGGAACACCAGUGGCGAAGGCGGCUUUCUGGUCUGUAACUGACGCUGAGGCGCGAAAGCGUGGGGAGCAAACAGG